AAAAUAUAUUAAAAAAUUUGAUAGAGGGUGUAUGAUAUAGAGCUAGGCUGGUAUACUAUCAGUAGCACGGAGGCCUCCGUGCUACUAAGUUGUUUUCAAUGAUGCGGCUUCCAAAUCGACGAUCGCCUCUGUUAAACUUGAUCUACACUAUUGAAAGUAUUUGAAAACUAAAUUUCAUAAUUUUUCGGCAUCAUUUACCUAUCAAACAAGUAGUCUAAAAUUGAACGGCUGAAAAUGAAAAUCUCAUAAAAAAUAGUGAUAAAGAAUUUAAAUUUCAAAUCGGAAGUAUUGGUCUUACUAUUGAUGUAAAGUAGAAUUUUUUAUUAAAUUUUCAUCUAAUUUGAAUACUUCUACACCGUUGAACUUAAAAACGCAUCAUAUCUACCUUUAAAAUUGUUAAUUUUGGAACCUUUUGAUCACUAGCCAAAUGAUGUCGAAAAAUUAUGAAAUUUAAUUUUCAAAUACUUUUAAUAGUGUAGAUCAAGUCUAACGGAGGCGAUCGUCGAUUUGAAAGCCGCAUCAUUGAAAACAACUUGAUAGCACGGAGAUCUCCGUGCUUCCGAUAGUAUACCAGCCUAGCUCGUAUGAUAUAUAUGUACAUGUAGCAACACUUGAAAUUUAAUUUAAUGACCCUUGAAUUUUAGGCCAUUUAAAAAUCACCCUCUCGGCUUCAAUUUUAUUCACUAAAUAAUAAUAAUUAGAAUUAUUAAAUUUGAUGAAUUUCGUAAAAUGCCUAAUUUUUUUGACUAAUAUUUAAAAAAAAAAAAUAUUUAUGAUAGCUAAGACGUCUCAAUUGAAAAGUUUAAAGUUGAGGGGGUUAUUUCAAAAUUACCUAUAGUUGAAGGGGUCUCCAUACUUCUUUUUCCAAAUAUAUUUAUUUGAGUCGUGCUACCCAUACACCCCAUUUAGAGUUGUAGAUCCUACAACUCCUUGAUCUAACGGCUGAUAUAAACUUGGUUUGAAAAAAAAAAAAAUCAGUGUUAACCUCACUCCCACAUUUUAUCCCCUCACGUUUUCCCUCUUUUGCCCUAAAUUUUGGCGCCAGCGUGCUAAAGAGAGAGAGAGGCGAGCGCGGUAGCGUGAGAGAGAGAGGCGAGCGAGCGAGGCAGCGAGCUAAAGAGAGAGAGGCGAGCGAGCGAGCGACCGAGAGAGAGAGGAGAGCUCGAGCGGGAGCAGGAGCAGGGCGCGAGAGAGAGCGAGGGCAGGGCGCGAGAGGGAGCGAGAGGAGUUGUGCUCUGCUAGAAACAGGGAGAACGAGAGGAAGAGAAAGAAGCGCGAAGGUGGAUUCUGCGAUCAAAUUGGACGCGGNGAGAGGCGCGAGAUCAAGAGAGAGGCGAGGGAGCGAGCGGGACCGAGAGAGCGAGCGGGACCGAGAAGGAGGUGUAGGGGAGAGAGAGAGAAAGAGAUGUGUAGUAGGGUUUAGCUUUAGGAAGAAAAAAUAAAAAGGGGAGUGAAGUUAGCUGCUACUGUGCUAGUGAUCUAAUAAUAGCCGUUGGAUCAUACGGGUGUAGGAUAUACACCUUCCUAUAGGAGUACAGG
rnacentral:lncRNA from 1 species